rnacentral:rRNA from 1 species
GAUGAACGCUGGCGGCGUGCUUAACACAUGCAAGUCGAACGGAAAGGCCUCUGCUUGCAGGGGUACUCGAGUGGCGAACGGGUGAGUAACACGUGGGUGAUCUGCCCUGCACUUCGGGAUAAGCCUGGGAAACUGGGUCUAAUACCGGAUAGGACAAUGGUUUGGAUGCUGUUGUGGAAAGUUUUUCGGUGUGGGAGGAGCUCGCGGCCUAUCAGGUUGUUGGUGGGGAAGUGGCCUACCAAGGCGUCGACGGGGAGCCGGCUGAAGGGGGUGUACGGACACAUUAGAACUGUGAGACAGCCAGGAGUCCGGCAGGUGGCAGAAGGGGGGAAUGUUGGACAAAGGGAGCACGCCUGAGGCAGCAAGGCCGCGUGGGGGAUGACGGCCUUCGGGUUGUAAGCACCUAUCGCUAGGGACGAGGCGUUUUUGUGACGGUACCUGGAGAAGAAGCACCGGCUAACUACGUG